rnacentral:lncRNA from 1 species
CCAUUUACAGGACAGUUCUGUGCCCUUCCUCAGGAGGUCCCAUUCCUUCCUUCUUUUGGUCGGUUCUGAGUGUCAGCUGUCUACUGGGGAUCUGCUAAGGCUAAGAGGCAAAGAUAGGCAAGUCACUCCCCUGACCUCAAGAAACUCCCAGUCUACAGGCGAAGAUACACCACCCACCGGUAGAGUCGCUGGACCAGAAUAUUAGGUGUUCCAGUCAAAGUCACCCAGAUUUGCCAAAAGACCUGGCACAAAUGUCACUUCCACUAUGAAGUCCCACUGACUUCCAUAUACAAGACAAUCUGCUGGGAAUUUCUUGGGUUGACAGCUCUUGGAUCCCUAUUUUGAACAGUGGUAGUGUCCUGGAUUACUUUUCAGAAAGAAGUAAUCCUUUUUAUGACAGAACAUGUAAUAAUGAAGUGGUCAAAAUGCAGAGGCUAACAUUAGAACACUUGAAUCAGAUGGUUGGAAUCGAGUACAUCCUUUUGCAUGCUCAAGAGCCCAUUCUUUUCAUCAUUCGGAAGCAACAGCGGCAGUCCCCUGCCCAAGUUAUCCCACUAGCUGAUUACUAUAUCAUUGCUGGAGUGAUCUAUCAGGCACCAGACUUGGGAUCA